UUUUAUGGAUAAGCAAAUAAAGUAGUUUCUUAACACGGAAUCGACUCUUGAUGAAGAUGCUGUGAA
rnacentral:pre_miRNA from 1 species